UACGUAGGGGGCAAGCGUUGUCCGGAAUCAUUGGGCGUAAAGAGCGUGUAGGCGGCCCGGUAAGUCCGCUGUGAAAGUCCAGGGCUCAACCCUGGGAUGCCGGUGGAUACUGUCGGGCUCGAGUCCGGAAGAGGAGUGCGGAAUUCCUGGUGUAGCGGUGAAAUGCGCAGAUAUCAGGAGGAACACCAAUGGCGAAGGCAGCACUCUGGGACGUGACUGACGCUGAGACGCGAAAGCGUGGGGAGCAAACAGG
rnacentral:rRNA from 1 species